UACGUAGGGUGCAAGCGUUGUCCGGAAUUAUUGGGCGUAAAGAGCUCGUAGGCGGUCUGUCGCGUCUGCUGUGAAAACCUGGGGCUUAACCCCGGGCCUGCAGUGGGUACGGGCAGACUAGAGUGUGGUAGGGGAGACUGGAAUUCCUGGUGUAGCGGUGAAAUGCGCAGAUAUCAGGAGGAACACCGGUGGCGAAGGCGGUUCUCUGGGCCUGUACUGACGCUGAGGAGCGAAAGCGUGGGGAGCGAACAGG
rnacentral:rRNA from 1 species